rnacentral:rRNA from 1 species
UACAGAGGGGGCAAGCGUUAUUCGGAAUUAUUGGGCGUAAAGGGCGCGUAGGCGGCUUUGCAAGUGACGGGUGAAAUCCCUCGGCUUAACCGAGGAACUGCCUGUCAGACUGCAUGGCUUGAGACCGGGAGAGGUGAGUGGAAUUCCCAGUGUAGCGGUGAAAUGCGCAGAUAUCAGGAGGAACACCGAUGGCGAAGGCAGCUCGCUGGGACGGUACUGACGCUGAGGCGCGGAAGGCCCAGGGGAGCAAACGGG